rnacentral:hammerhead_ribozyme from 1 species
GCACUGCUGAGGAAUCCUACAAUAGGACGAAACGGCCGUCCAGUAC